AAGUCUGUCUCAGCACCAUGGAACCAGCUGGUGUUGGAGAGGGCAGGAACGUUUUAAUUACUCAGGUUACAGGGGAAGGGGGAAUGGGAGUGAGGAAGGAAUACAGGCAAAAUCUAAGAUGUAAUUUGCAGUAAUACGAUUAUAACUUUGAACACUUCUUUCCUGUAUUCAGACAGGAUACGAAUGAAUCAACACGGCACCUGGGAGUACCCGUGUUCUUGGGCCUGUCAUCUGAAUGGGGCAGAGUUAUUCAAAUAUCAGCCACACCACUAAUUAGCUGAAUAUCUGAAAAGCCCUGACUCUUUCCGGAGCUACGGUUCUGGUGGAGCUCUGAGGUCAUAGAACAUUCCAGAAGGCUGCUCCAGUGCCUCUCUCAAGUUCCUCCUUGUCUCUUUGGAGUCUCUGAAAAUAUCAAAACCCAAGGCUAUGCUUUCCCACAGAAUUCUUUUCCUAUUCUUUGUUAGAACUGAAGCUUGGCGUGCUGUUGGACCAGCCUGUAAGCCAGCUAAGGGAGGCUUAAGGCAGGUGGGGUGGGUCUUCAUUGGGUCCUUCUAUUAUGUGGCAUCUUCCCUAUGGCCCUGACCAGACAUCACACUCUGGGUUCACUUUAUUUGCCACCCUUCUAGGAUCUACAGACUCAGUUCCCAUUUCCUGGCUGCCCCAGCUGAACUGCCUACCACCCAGGGUAGGCUGGUCUCCAGUGGUCCCUAAUGGUCCCUACUGUUCCCGGUAUUCCUGAAGGAGGGGCAGGCAAUCGCUCUAUCCAGAUCUCUCUCUCUCUCUUUCUCUCUCUUCUGUCAAAUGACUCCAGUUUCAGCGUCUUUCUGUCAAACAGAAGUGACUUCUACAAAGACCUUUGCUCUCUAACUAGUUACUCAAUCACCAGAUACUCUGUUUCCAACAUGUGUCAAGCCAUGGCCUGCUCUUGUCAAACUUCCUGUGGGAAGAGAGACCUUAAUAGAAUAAUCUCAGAAUGUGUAGGCUUGUAAGCGGAGGGGAAGUACCUGGAAGGCAAAGAGUCUGGAUAUGAUGGCUUAGGCCUGUGAUUCCAGUACCUGGGUGACAGACAGAAUUGCCACCAGUUGGAGACCAGCUUGGGCUAUAUAGCAAGUUCGUGGCCAGCCUGUGCUACCAGGCCAGACUGUUUCAGGAGAACACUGUAUUAAAAAAAAAAAAGUCAAGGCAAAACUGGGUAGAGAGGUGCAUGCCUGAAGUUCCAGCCACUUUGGAGACUGAGGCAGGAGGAUUGCUUAAAUCCAAGAGUUCAAGACCAGGCUAGGCAAUUUAGUCAGACUUCAUAUC
rnacentral:lncRNA from 1 species